rnacentral:rRNA from 1 species
AUUGAACGCUGGCGGCAGGCCUAACACAUGCAAGUCGAGCGGAGCGGCGGACGGGUGGGUAAUGCCUAGGAAUCUGCCUGGUAGUGGGGGAUAACGUCCGGAAACGGGCGCUAAUACCGCAUACUCUCAGAUGAGCCUAGGUCGGAUUAGCUAGGUGGUGGGGUAAAGGCCUACCAAGGCGACGAUCCGUAACUGGUCUGAGAGGAUGAUCAGUCAACCGGGAACUGAGCCACGGUCCAGACUCCUACGGGAGGGAGCAGUGGGGAAUAUUGGACAAUGGGCGAAAGCAUGAUGCAGCGGCGCCGCGUGGGGGAUGAAGGCUUUCGGGUUGUAAACCUCUUUCGCUAUCGAACGGGUAGGUGGAGAAGAAGCGCCGGCUAACUACGUGCCAGCAGCCGCGGUAAUAC